rnacentral:rRNA from 1 species
GACGAACGCUGGCGGCGUGCUUAACACAUGCAAGUCGAACGAUGAAGCCCAGCUUGCUGGGUGGAUUAGUGGCGAACGGGUGUGUAACACGUGGGUGAUCUGCCCUGCACUCUGGGAUAAGCCUGGGAAACUGGGUCUAAUACCGGAUAUGACCUCGGGAUGCAUGUCCUGGGGUGGAAAGUUUUUCGGUGCAGGAUGUAGCCCGCGGCCUAUCAGCUUGUUGGUGGGGUAAUGGCCUACCAAGGCGACGACGGGUAGCCGGCCUGGGAGGGCGAGCGGCCACACUGGGACUGAGAGACGGCCCAGACUCCUACGGGAGGCAGCAGUGGGGAAUAUUGCACAAUGGGCGCAAGCCUGAUGCAGCGACGCCGCGUGAGGGAUGACGGCCUUCGGGUUGUAAACCUCUUUCAGCAGGGACGAAGCGCAAGUGACGGUACCUGCAGAAGAAGCACCGGCCAACUACGUGCCAGCAGCCGCGGUAACAC